rnacentral:rRNA from 1 species
UACGGAGGGUCCCAAGCGUUAUCCGGAAUCAUUGGGUUUAAAGGGUCCGUAGGCGGUUUAAUAAGUCAGUGGUGAAAGCCCAUCGCUCAACGAUGGAACGGCCAUUGAUACUGUUAAACUUGAAUUAUUAGGAAGUAACUAGAAUAUGUAGUGUAGCGGUGAAAUGCUUAGAGAUUACAUGGAAUACCAAUUGCGAAGGCAGGUUACUACUAAUAUAUUGACGCUGAUGGACGAAAGCGUGGGGAGCGAACAGGAUUAGAUACCCUGGUAGU